AUGGCGGCCAAGAAGAGCGGGAGCGAGAUGGGCGUGGUGCUGGGGCUGGACGUUGCGCGGUACAUGGGGCGGUGGUACGAGAUCGCGUCCUUCCCCAACUUCUUCCAGCCGCGCGACGGGCGCGACACGCGGGCGACCUACGAGCUCAUGGAGGACGGCGCCACGGUGCACGUGCUCAACGAGACGUGGAGCAAAGGGAAGCGCGACUUCAUCGAGGGCACCGCCUACAAGGCCGACCCGGCCAGCGAGGAGGCCAAGCUCAAGGUCAAGUUCUACGUCCCGCCCUUCCUCCCCAUCAUCCCCGUCGUCGGCGACUACUGGGUCCUCUAUGUCGACGACGACUACCAGUAUGCCCUCGUCGGCGAGCCCCGCCGGAAAAGCCUAUGGAUCCUGUGCAGGAAGACGCACAUCGAGGAGGAGGUGUACAACCAGCUGCUGGAGAAGGCCAAGGAGGAAGGCUACGACGUGGCCAAGCUGCACAAGACGCCGCAGAGCGACCCGCCGCCGGAGAGCGAUGCCGCGCCCACCGACAGCAAAGGGACCUGGUGGUUCAAGUCGCUCUUUGGUAAAUGA
rnacentral:rRNA from 1 species